CCCAGAGUGAGCAAGUCCUGCCUGAUCUGCGUGAAGGACAGCUACACCGACUUCCACGUCGACUGUGGGGGCGCCUCCGCCUGGUACCACGUGCUCAAGGUUCACAAAUGCUACAACUGCAUCGUCAAGCAGGGCCAGACCCUCUUCAUCCCCUCAGGCACUGACAGAGCUCUCGUGGGCCCCGAGCCCUGCAGCUUCCCAGGGCGGUUGUCCCCUGGUCCACCUCAGCUAUGCAGGGCCCAGAGGGGAAGCCUGAGCUGGUGUGUCUGGGGCCUGGACCCACCCCCAUCGUCGCCUGCUUGAUGGUCAGUGCACUGAGAAUGGCUCUUUGGUGGCUUCCAGAGCAUAUGAAGUUGAAAAGAGGUUGAAACUAGGCAGCCUGACUCAGUUUCCCAACUUCAGAACUGCCUGCUGGUACAUGGGGAAGCACCUGCAGAGGCGUUCAAAGGUACUGGUUGCUGCAGGGUGGGUGUCCAAGCCUGGGGCUCUUGGUUAUGGGGGAGGCCAGACUUGGCUCAGGGCUGGCU
rnacentral:lncRNA from 1 species